rnacentral:rRNA from 1 species
CAGCCCCCCGAGUGGUAGGGAUGUUUAUUUGGCCUAAAACGUCCGUAGCCGGCUAAGUAAAUUUCUCGUUAAAUCCAACGUCCUAAGCGUUGGGCUGCGAGAAAGACUGCUAAGCUAGAGGGUGGGAGAGGUCAGCGGUAUUCCUGGGGUAGGGGCGAAAUCCUUUGAACCCAGGAGGACCACCAGUGGCGAAGGCUGCUGACUAGAACACGCCUGACGGUGAGGGACGAAAGCUGGGGUAGCGAAUCGGAUUAGAGACCCGUGUAGUCC